GGAAACUGACCGCGGGAGCCGUAGCUGGAGAGCCUCGGCUCAUGGAGGAGGGAACCUGGCUGCGCCGCGCUGCAGGCAACAAAACCAAAGAAAGCAACAUCUGAUCCUUCAUUUCUACUCCCGUUUGGGAUUUUAUUUGCAUCAUCUUUGAGCCUAUUGAUUUAAAAAAAAAAAAAAAAAAA